AUGGUCAAACUCGGUAAGCUGCUUACUCUUGACCUUGGAUGGAACAAUUUCGGUGGCAACAUCCCGGAGUCCAUAGGUCAGCUCGGGAGGCUGGAGGAGCUCCAUUUGGAUAGCAAUAAUAUGUCUGGGGAGUUGCCAUCAACUCUGGGCAACUGCACAAAUCUGAAAACCAUUGAUCUGAAGAUCAACAACUUCAGUGGAGAUCUAAGCAAGGUAAACUUCGCCACCCUACAGAAUCUAAAAAGUUUAGAUCUCAUGAGUAAUAAUCUCAGUGGCAUGCUUCCAGAAAGUAUUUACUCAUGCAGCAAUUUGACUGCACUGCGGUUGUCAUACAACAAUUUGCAUGGUGAGAUCUCCCUGAGAAUAGGCAAUCUGAAGCACUUGUCCUUCUUAUCACUUGUUAGAAAUUCCUUCACGAACAUCACAAAAACUUUGCAUGGCCUUAAGAGCUGUAAGAACAUCAGCAUCCUACUUAUUGGAAAAAACUUCAUGAAUGAGGCCAUGCCACAAGAUGAAACCAUUGACGGUUUCCAGAAUCUUCAACAUCUCGCCAUACACCAUUGUUCGUUGACUGGAAGGAUACCUAUGUGGUUAUCAAAGCUCACAAAUCUGAAGAUGCUAGACUUAUACAGCAAUCGACUCACUGGACCAAUGCCAAGCUGGAUCAACUCCCUAAACCACCUCUUUCGUCUGAAUGUAUCUAACAACAGUCUUACUGGGGAAAUCCCAAUCACCUUGAUGCAGAUGCCAAUGUUGAAAUCAGAUAAGCCCGGCAUCUAUUCGGACCCAAGCCUCCUUGACCUUGAUCUAGUUAUUUAUGUUGCGGAUUCAUCAACACUUCAAUACCGCAUAGACAGUGCUUGGGCCAAAGUGCUGAAUCUCAGCAACAAUAAAUUCACAGGUAUGAUCCCACAAGAGACUGGUCAGCUGAAAGCACUCCUUUUUCUGGACUUGAGUUCCAACAACUUUUAUGGAGAGAUCCCGCAAUCAAUCUGCGACCUCACGAACCUCCAGGAACUAGAUCUGUCUAAUAACCAUCUGACGGGUGAAAUUCCUGCAGCAUUGGAGAUUCUUCACUUCCUUUCGCAGUUCAACAUUUCCAACAACGACCUAGAAGGAUCUAUUCCAACAGCAGGCCAGCUGAGCACAUUUCAAAUUCUAGUUUUGAUGGGAACCCAAAGCUGUGCCAUUCUCUGCUCAGUUCGGUUGAAGGAACUCCUGUGUACAUCAUCUCUGCAAAAGAAUGCAGCAUUAAAGUCAUCUUUGCAAUUGCCUUUGGUCUUUUCUUUGGGGUAG
rnacentral:rRNA from 1 species